AGAGCGAACGCUGGCGGCAGGCUUAACACAUGCAAGUCGAGCGCCUGUAGCAAUACAGGAGCGGCAGACGGGAGAGUAACACGUGGGAACGUACCUUUCAGUUCGGAACAACCAAGGGAAACUUUGGCUAAUACCGAAUACGCCCGUAAGGGGAAAGAUUUAUCGCUGAAAGAUCGGCCCGCGUCUGAUUAGCUUGUUGGUGAGGUAAUGGCUCACCAAGGCGACGAUCAGUAGCUGGUCUGAGAGGAUGAUCAGCCUCACUGGGACUGAGACACGGCCCAGACUCCUACGGGAGGCAGCAGUGGGGAAUAUGGACAAUGGGCGCAAGCCUGAUCCAGCCAUGCCGCGUGGAUGAUGAAGGCCCUAGGGUUGUAAAGUCCUUUCGACGGGAAGAUAAUGACGGUACCGUAGAAGAAGCCCGCUAACUUCGUGACCAGCAAGCCGAC
rnacentral:rRNA from 1 species